ensembl:ncRNA asRNA:CR44849 antisense RNA:CR44849
AUUCACUUUAUUAAACAUCUCAAACAGUUACAUGGCUGAUUGAUUACCACUGGAGAUUCAGAUUGGUUAGAAAAUGAUGCAUUUACUCUGAAACUUAUGAUUCCGGUUCGUUGGCCGCCUCCUCUUCUGCCUCAAGUCCCUUGGCGAGCCGCUCGGCGACACGCUGCAUCAGCUCCUCCAUGCUCAUCUCGAUCUGGACGCAGGCACGUCGUCCCGGAUCAAAUCGCUGCUCAUGGCCGCACUGCACCCGUUCGCAACGCAGGCUCAGGCUGAACCAGCUGCUCGCAUCCUUGAAUCCCGGCCAGCACUCGCACUCGUUGUGGGCCACACAAUGGCUGUGCUCCGGACAACCACCCUGGCAGACAGGUCGACAGAUGAGCUGGUGGCCAGUGGUGUGGUGGUGCGAUGGCUCGUAGCCCCGCUGGCAAUGGCAGCGAUCCGGCUCCGCACAGUAGCUGUGGGCGGGGCACGCCUCCUGGCAGACUGGCUCACAGAAGCCAAAGAGAAUGGUUCGAUAUCCCGGGCAGCACACCUGGAUGUUGUCCCAACGCACCCGUUCCUCGUACACCACAUAGCUGUCCAAGUCGAUGGGAUGGCUGGCAUUUGGAGGACCUGCACCCGCCAUGCGCGUCUUGGCCACGGGCACCUGAUACUUGACACUGAUGUUCUUCUGGCAAUGACCGUUGGUGAUGGCCAGGCUGCUGACCUCCACCAAGUGGAUCGUCAUCAGGACGAGGACCAGCAUGGGAUACAGCACUUGUUGCAGCAUUGAUGCCAUUCGCUUCGGUCUGGGUUCUUCAAGAUUGUGCGUACGUCGUCGCAAGUGCACUAAACGCAGCAGCCGCAGAUUAAAGAGAACCCCAAUCCCGAUUCUUCUGUUGCUGCUCACUCGGAAAAAAUGUGGCAUUCCAAAAAUUAAUCAAAGAAGCUU